UCACCCCUCAAGCCCUGCGCUUGGUGUUGGACGGCCGGUCGAGGCGACUCGACCCCUCCUAAAGACAAUGACGGCGGCCUGUGGUUCCCCCGGUACACUGAGCUUUUAACCGAGCACGUAUCGGACAAGGGCGCCCAGGACCCGGUCCUCUCCUUUGUCUAGGAAACUUCUCAA
rnacentral:misc_RNA from 1 species